rnacentral:lncRNA from 1 species
UAUAUUGUUUUCGAUUUGGGUUUGUUAUGCUUUACUAAAGAUUUCAGGUCCAGUGAGAAUAAGUUUGGCUUUCUUCUUGCGUUAUUCCUUCGCGACCUCAGCCAACAAGUUGCAGAGAUUAGAGAUGACGAUCACCUAUCUGUAACGUCUCAACUUCGCAUUGACGCCUAAUAUGCUCUUAGCCUCUACAUAAUUAACCCACUCUCCCCAAUCUGCAGCAUUCAAUUAAUCUCAUCAAAUCCUCAAAGUAACCUACAAAAGCUUCGGGUACAAAGUAACCUACAAAACCUGACAGAGAGAUAAGUAGAUUUACUUUUACGCUUUGGUAUUUCUGAAGAAGUUAGCUCUUAUUCUUUGAAACUCUUCACUGUUCUUAAUAUGGUAUGAAUAUGGUGAUAAAGUGAGAAUUUUUGAGGAAUCAAUAGACGAAUUUCAUAAAUUUUUAUGUUUUUUUUUUUCGGGUUUGUGGUCUGAUGAUUGUCAGAUUCAUUGACAUAAGAUUGAUUGGGUUGCUUUGAACCAAUCACUUUUUUCUUAG